rnacentral:rRNA from 1 species
UUCUUGGAUCGUCGCAAGACGAACUGCAGCGAAAGCGUUUGCCAAGUAUGUUUUCUUUAAUCAAGAACGAAAGUUAGAGGUUCGAAGGCGAUCAGAUACCGCCCUAGUUCUAACCAUAAACUAUGCCAUCUAGCGAUCCGCUGUGUGUCUUAGAUGUCACGGCGGGCAGCCCCCGGGAAACCAAAGAUUUUGGGUUCCGGGGGAAGUAUGGUUGCAAAGCUGAAACUUAAAGGAAUUGACGGAAGGGCACCACCAGCCGUGGGGCUUGCGGUUUAAUUUGACUCAACGCGGGGUAUCCUACCAGGCCCGGACACUCGAAGGAUUGACAGAUUGAGAGCUCUUUCUUGAUUGGGUGCGUGGUGGUGCAUGGCCGUUCUUCGUUGGUGAAGCGAUUUGUCUGCUUAAUUGCGAUAACGAACGAGACUCUAGCCUGCUAACUAGUCGGUACCGGCAUCCUAUGUGCAGCCGGCGACAAUAUAUCUUCUUAGAGGGACAAGUGGUGUCUAGCCACACGAGAUUGAGCAAUAACAGGUCUGUGAUGCCCUUAGAUGUUCUGGGCCACACGCGUGCCACACUGAAGGAAUCAACGUGUGUAUUCCUGUCCUGAGAAGGUUGGGUAACCCGUUGAAAUUCCUUCGUGCUAGGGAUUGGGGCUUGAAAUUUUUUCCCACGAACGAGGAAUGCCUAGUAAGCGUGAGUCAUAAUCUCGCGUUGAUUAUGUCCCUGCCCUUUGUCCACACCGCCCGUCGCUACUACCGAUUGAAUGAUUUGGUGAGGUCUCCGGACUCGUGCGCGGCUCUCGGUUCUUCGGAAUCGAGGGAUCGAUGUCGCGGGAAAGUUGACCGAACUUGAUUAUUU